rnacentral:rRNA from 1 species
UACGUAGGGGGCAAGCGUUAUCCGGAUUUACUGGGUGUAAAGGGAGCGUAGACGGAGGAGCAAGUCUGAUGUGAAAAUCCGGGGCCCAACCCCCGGACUGCUCUGGAAACUGUACGGCUGGAGUGCAGGAGAGGUAAGUGGAAUUCCUAGUGUAGCGGUGAAAUGCGUAGAUAUUAGGAGGAACACCAGUGGCGAAGGCGGCUUACUGGACUGUAACUGACGUUGAGGCUCGAAAGCGUGGGGAGCAAACAGG